UGAAAUUAAAGAUUUUGUGGUAGAAGC
rnacentral:piRNA from 1 species